rnacentral:rRNA from 1 species
GAUGAACGCUGGCGGCGUGCCUAAUACAUGCAAGUCGAGCGAACAGAUAAGGAGCUUGCUCCUUUGACGUUAGCGGCGGACGGGUGAGUAACACGUGGGUAACCUACCUAUAAGACUGGAAUAACUCCGGGAAACCGGGGCUAAUGCCGGAUAACAUUUAGAACCGCAUGGUUCUAAAGUGAAAGAUGGUUUUGCUAUCACUUAUAGAUGGACCCGCGCCGUAUUAGCUAGUUGGUAAGGUAACGGCUUACCAAGGCAACGAUACGUAGCCGACCUGAGAGAGUGAUCGGCCACACUGGAACUGGGACACGGUCCAGAGGCCUACGGGAGGCAGCAGUAGGGAAUCUGCCGCAAUGGGCGGAAGCCUGACGGAGCGACGCCGCGUGAGUGAUGAAGGUCUUCGGAUCGUAAAACUCUGUUAUUAGGGAAGAACAAAUGUGUAAGUAGCUGUGCACGUCUUGACGGUACCUAAUCAGAAAGCCACGGCUAACUACGUG